rnacentral:rRNA from 1 species
UACAGAGGGGGCAAGCGUUGUUCGGAAUUACUGGGCGUAAAGGGCGCGUAGGCGGCCCGCUAAGUCGAACGUGAAAUCCCCGAGCUCAACUCGGGAACUGCGUCCGAUACUGGUGGGCUUGAAUCCGGGAGAGGGAUGCGGAAUUCCAGGUGUAGCGGGUGAAAUGCGUAGAUAUCUGGAGGAACACCGGUGGCGAAGGCGGCAUCCUGGACCGGCAUUGACGCUGAGGCGCGAAAGCCAGGGGAGCAAACGGG